rnacentral:rRNA from 1 species
CUACGGGUCGCUGCAGUGGGGAAUUUUGCGCAAUGGGGGAAACCCUGACGCAGCAACGCCGCGUGAAGGAUGAAGGCCUUUGGGUCGUAAACUUCUGUCAGAGGGAAAGAAAUACUCGCAAGAGAGAUGACGGUACCCUCAAAGGAAGCACCGGCUAACUCCGUGCCAGCAGCCGCGGUAAUACGGAGGGUGCAAGCGUUGUUCGGAAUUAUUGGGCGUAAAGCGCAUGUAGGCGGUCUGUUAAGUCUGGUGUGAAAGCCCGGGGCUCAACCCCGGAAGUGCAUUGGAUACUGGCAGACUUGAGUAUGGGAGAGGAAAGUGGAAUUCCGAGUGUAGGAGUGAAAUCCGUAGAUAUUCGGAGGAACACCAGUGGCGAAGGCGGCUUUCUGGACCAAUACUGACGCUGAGAUGCGAAAGCGUGGGGAGCAAACAGGAUUAGAUACCCGUGUAGUC